rnacentral:pre_miRNA from 1 species
GGAACUUGAAAGCUAUCGUUGGAUCUAAAAAUGAACGCCUAAGAUUUAUCCACGCCAUUAAGAGUAAACUUUUUAUUCCUAACAAAAUUUCUAUUCAUGAUUGAAUCUGCGAGUAAAAUUUAUACUCAAAGUGAUAUGGACAAAUCUCAGGCGUCCAUUGUUAGAUCCAACUAUAGUUUCCAGGUUUAC